GUGUCUUGGCUAAUGUGUCUUGGCUAAUGUGUCUUGGCUAAUGUGUCUUGGCUAAGGUGUCUUGGCUAAGGUGUCUUGGCUAAGGUGUCUUGUCUAAGGUGUCUUGGCUAAUGUGUCUUGGCUAAGGUGUCUUGGCUAAGGUGUCUUGGCUAAGGUGUCUUGGCUAAGGUGUCUUGUCUAAGGUGUCUUGGCUAAUGUGUCUUGGCUAAGGUGUCUUGGCUAAGGUGUCUUGGCUAAUGUGUCUUGGCUAAGGUGUCUUGGCUAAGGUGUCUUGGCUAAUGUGUCUUGGCUAAUGUGUCUUGGCUAAGGUGUCUUGGCUAAUGUGUCUUGGCUAAUGAGUCUUGGCUAAUGUGUCUUGGCUAAGGUGUCUUCGCUAAGGUGUAUUGGCUAAUGUGUCUUGGCUAAGGUGUCUUGGCUAAUGUGUCUUGGCUAAUGUGUCUUGGCUAAGGUGUCUUGACUAAUGUGUCUUGGCUAAUGUGUCUUGGCUAAGGUGUCUUGGCUAAGGUGUCUUGGCUAAGGUGUCUUGACUUAUGUGUCUUGGCUAAAGUGUCUUGGCUAAUGUGUCUUGGCUAAGGUGUCUCGGCUAAGGUGUCUUGGCUAAUGUGUCUUGGCUAAUGUGUCUCGGCUGAUGUGUCUCGGCUAAUGUGUCUUGGCUAAGGUGUCUUGGCUAAUGUGUCUUGGCUAAGGUGUCUUGGAUAAUGUGUC